UAAUCCCCUUCCUGGUUAAUUAAAUCCUCAGACUGGUGCUGUGUUCCUAGCCUCUGGCCUCUCUGUAGGGGUAGGGUGUCCCAGGGCAAGAGCCUGGAGAGGACAGGCAGAAUCCCAGGGCUUG
rnacentral:miRNA from 14 species